GGUUCUGCGCACGCGCGGGGCCGCCGGACCGUUUGGCGGCGGGUUCGAUUCAAACGGCGGCGGAGUAUGGAGGGAGGGGGAACUUCCCGUAUCCCCGUUUACGGGCAGUCCCACCGCCUCGGGUCGCCCGCAGAAAUACAAAUGGCUUUUCCUUCAAAGAAACAAUGCGUCGGCAAAACAGCAGAUCUAGAGUUCAACAAAGAUCCCAAUUUUAACUUUAGCUCAAACAUUCCAGCAGAUGGUGUCUUCAAAGCUACAAACCAAGGGUUGCCUAAAUCUGCCAAGA